rnacentral:miRNA from 2 species
UACGUAGUAUAGUGCUUUUCAC